CACGCUCACACACACACACACACACACACUUGAACAAAGCUCGUUGAUCCCAUGCAUCCCCGAGAUCGUCCAUCAGCAGAAGCCUGUUGAGGCGUGCUAACACUACACUGCAGAGGGAAAGUGCGUAUGAUUGUGAAAACCUCAGCGUUGAGAUCGGCUUAAGGACUUAUUGUGUGAGCUGCAACCCUUUUUGUGUGGGACUAGAGGCUACUCGUUCUACUACUUCGAAGAAGAAACCCAUCACUCACCAUCAUAAAUGAAUUGCGCAGAUGUCUCAGUUCUAUUCGGAGUCCUCAUAUGAAUGUCUCCGGAACCUCCUUCUCGGCCAUUUUUUUUUUUGUUUGGAGGCUUUAUUUCACCGCGAUGCUUUGAAUCUGCCUACGAGAGAGCUGCUCCACUUUCAGCUGCAUCCAGGAAUAGCAGAACUCUACGUUCUACAUGAAACGAUACCCAGGGCUAUUGCUUGGUCAACAACAAAUACGACCUCUUUUCGAAAGCUCCGCGUAACAACUCUGUUCCUAUGCACUUCUGUAUCGCACGUUUGGCUCAUCCCACCGUAGACACUACCGCGUUCGGUAGGUGUGAACGAACAUUUUGACUGCUGUCCUAGCAUUUUCCAUCUUAGUAUAUCGUAGUGGCUCAUUCGAGAAGGCCGUAAAUGACGACAGCGACAUAAAAUGAAAGCGAGAAAAGAGGCAAGGUAGACAUUCAACUGGGUGACACUGAGAUACCGACUGCUCGCUCACUGUGAGCCCAAUAGCUACUGCGUUUCCCACAGCGGCGUCUGACAUCGUUACGGCUCCACUGAUCACCUUUACGAACAAGCUUAGUGGCCAACUGUUAACAGCUAGUUUGCGGCAAUGUACGCCUACUUUGUACUCAUUUGAGAGCCAUCUUCGCUUUCUGGUACAGGAUCUCCAAUCCUACAACCAUGAGAACCCUCUACAAUCUUAUCGCUGCGGCCAGCAAACUGCCUUAUGGGGCACGCACUUGUACUACGCUUCCGAUAGGCUUUCAGCUGAAUGAUGGCGAAAAUCGAGCGAAGGUCUUCAAUAAAUUUAGAAUACUAGAAAAAUAUCAUAGAAUACUGAGAAAUUAACCUGAAUAUUCUAAACAAAAGGUCUUCUAUCAUAAGGAUAAUUUGUUUUUCUUGUCUAGUCUAGCCCACGAUUGUAUAUGCAUUGUAGGAGAUUGCGUUUGAGAGCUAGGGAAUUAAUUGUAGACCGAAAUACCAAAAGGGAUCAUCAUCAUCAAUAUGUUAUUUCCUAAGUGUUGUUUUGAGAUUUCGGCAUAUAAUCACUUUUGUUAAUGUCUAUCAAAUGUUUGGUUUCUAGAAAUGUUUAAGUUAUUGCACCCACUGCAUCACAGCUAUAUAAUUAACUUACAAGUUAGAUGUCCCAUUUAUAUCCAGCAAUUCGUCCGUACACCUAACCUACUUUAUACUUAUGUGCGGUGGAAAAUACUGUUUAGUUUGCAGUAGUCCUAGUCUAUUUCGUAAUAUCGUAAUAGGUUGUGCAUUUUUUUUAGUGGUA